AAUAUCCGAUGAAGGACGCGCAAGACUGCGAUAAGCCUGGGUAAGUUGUCACGAAACGUUACAGCCCAGGAUUUCCGAAUGGGGGAACCCUAUCCAUCAAGAUGGAUAACCUGAUUAGGAGGACACCAGCCGAAUUGAAAUAUCUUAGUAAGCUGGGAAAAGAAAUCAACCGAGAUUCCGAAAGUAGUGGCGAGCGAAAUUGGAACAGCCCAAACCUGUACGGUGCCAAGGAUGAGCCCGUUGCCGUACGGGGGUUACACGACAUAUCACCGCAAAGCUCAUAUAGCGAUACUGAUAUAUAAUUACAGAAAAAUUACCUGGAAAGGUAGGCCAAAGAGGGUAAUAGCCCCGUAUUCGAAAUAAUCUGUAUAUUCGGUACGAUAUGCUCGUAAGUAGUAUCGGACACGUGAAAUCCGGUAUGAAGUUAGGUCGACCACGAUCUAAGGCUAAAGAGUAUUCGAGAUCGAUAGUGAACAAGUACUGUGAAGGAAAGGUAAAAAGAACCCCGGGAGGGGAGUGAAAUAGAUCCUGAAACUUUGUGCUUACAAAGAGUCGGAGCGCUUCGGCGUGACGGCGUGCCUUUUGGAGAAGGAACCAACGACUUACGUAUACGUGGCAAGGUUAAGACAGAUAUAGUCGGAGCCGAAGGGAAACCAAGUCUGAAUAGGGCGAUUUUAGUCACGUAUAGUAAACCCGAAACCCGUGUGAGCUAUUCAUGGCCAGGCUGAAGGUGGGGUAACACCUACUGGAGGGCCGAACCAAUUGGAGCUGCAAGUCCACUGGAUGAGCUGUGAAUAGGAGUGAAAAGCUAAUCGAACCGGGAGAUAGCUGGCUCUCCGCGAAAUAUAUUUAGGUAUAGCGUAUAAUAGUAACCAAGAGGGGUAGGGCUCUGAUAAGACUAGCGGGUUUAUUCCAACUUAGCAAAUCUUGAUAAACUUCGAAUACUCUUGGCGGAAUAUUAUACAGUCGGACAGUGACGGAUAAGCGCCAUUGUCAAAAGGGAAACAGCCCAGAUUCCUAUCUAAGGUCCCCAAGUUAUAACUCAGUGGAAAAGGAUGUGCGAUUACUAAGACAGCCAGGAUGUUGGCUUAGAAGCAGCCACUCAUUCAAAGAGUGCGUAAUAGCUCACUGGUCGAGUGAUUGUGCGCCGAAAAUUCAGCGGGGCUUAAGUUAUACACCGAAGAUGGAAGAUUUAUACAUUAGUAUGGAUCGGUAGCGGAGCGUUCUGUAAGCCUGUGAAGCAGUUGGGUAACCACCUGUGGAGGUAUCAGAAGUGCAAAUGUUGGUAUGAGUAACGUAAUGGAGGUGAAAACCCUCCACACCGAAUACCCAAGGUUUCCUGUCCUACGUCAGUCGUGGCAGGGUUAGUCGGUCCUAAGGUGCACCCGAAAGGGGCAAGCCGAUGGAUAUCUGGUUAAUAUUCCAGAACUAUAUACAAGAGGUUAUUACCUAUGUGGGGACGCAUCGCGAAUAUCGGACACUCUCAUGGAUAUGAGUGAAGAGUAAUGCUUUUGGUUGUGUAGGCAAAUCCGCACAACAAUACAAGAGGGUUAUGAUUCCUUACCCAAUACUUCUUCGGAAGGGAUAAGUAAGGUCCUGUGAUAUGAAGGUGCCAAGAAAAGCCACUCUGGGACGAAUGUAUAUAACCGUACCGUAAUCGAACACUCGUGGGUGGAUGUGAGUACAUUAAGGUGGACGGGAUAACUGAGCUUAAGGAACUCUGCAAAACAGCGGUCGUAACUUCGGGAUAAGACCUGCCUCCUCAGCAUUUAUCUGAGAGGCCGCAGCUAACGAGUCCAGGCGACUGUUUACCAAAAACACAGCUCCGUGCUAAAUCGCAAGAUGAUGUAUACGGGGUGAUGCCUGUCCGGUGCCAGAAGAUCACGGGGAGGGGUGCAAGCUCUGAACCUAAGUCCUGGUGAACGACGGCCGUAACUAUAACGGUCCUAAGGUAGCGAAAUUCCUUGUCGGGU
rnacentral:rRNA from 1 species